UCAGGACGAACGCUGGCGGCGUGCUUCAUACAUGCAAGUCGAACGAGAAACUGGCUCGGUAGUGGAAAGUGGCGGACGGGUGAGUAAUAUGUAGAGAAUCUGCCCUUGAGUGGGGGACAACAGAGGGAAACUUCUGCUAAUACCCCAUAUGAGCUUAGUUGAAAUACUAAUCUUGAAAACUCCGGUGCUCAAGGAUGAGUCUGCAUCUGAUUAGCUAGUUGGCGGUGUAAUGGACCACCAAGGCGACGAUCAGUAGCUGGUUUGAGAGGAUGAUCAGCCACAAUGGGACUGAGACACGGCCCAUACUCCUACGGGAGGCAGCAGUAGGGAAUUUUGCGCAAUGGGGGAAACCCUGAACCGCAGCAACGCCGCGUGACCGAUGAAGCCCUUCGGGGUGUAAAGGUCUGUCAGUGGGGACGAAUUUUGACGGUACCCACAGAGGAAGCACCGGCUAACUCCGUGCCAGCAGCGGC
rnacentral:rRNA from 1 species